rnacentral:sRNA from 1 species
GCUGUAAACAAUGCUCUUUCUGAAAUAUUGAGGGCUAGCUUUGGAUCGCGCCAUCGCGGCUAACUCUUGGCAACACCAAUGGCUUCCUUGUGUCUUCUUCCAUCAAAGCGUGUUCCUUUCAUUAAUUACAUUCUCUUUUGUGGCCUUCUAUUAUAUUGUUGCGUAGUUUUCAGUCUUUUAUUUCUCUUCGUUGUAUCUCCGUGUUAUGUAAAAAAUCUAAAAUUUCGUAUAAAACUUUAAAUUUUACCAAAAAAAUAAUUAAAAACAGACAAAUUCUUUAGAAAUAAAAUCUAACACCUUUUAUAUUUUCUUCAUAAACAAUUGAACCAAAAAAAAAAACUCAAAUCCAACUCCUCUCCCCUAUAAAACUCU